rnacentral:rRNA from 1 species
GACAGAGGUUGCAAACGUUGUUCGGAAUUACUGGGCAUAAAGCGCACGUAGGUGGUCCGCUAAGUCGUGUGUGAAAUGCCCCGGCUCAACCGGGGAAUUGCGCACGAUACUGGCGGGCUUGAGGUCGGGAGGGGUGAGUGGAACUCCUGGUGGAGCGGUGAAAUGCGUAGAUAUCAGGAGGAGCACCUAUUGCGAAGGCAGCUCGCUGGGACGUAACUGACGCUGAGACGCGAAAGCGUGGGGAGCAAACAGG